GGAGUCUACUCAUUAUGCGAGUGUUAGGGUGGAAAAACCCAAACGCGUACCGAAAGGGAUGCAAGAUGUGAAGCGUAAGCCGCAACAUCAACCAACCUUGAUUCUCCGAUGAAGGGCUUGAGUAAGAGCAUAAUUGGUAGGACCCGAAAGAUGGUGAACUACGGUUGAGUAGGGUGAAGCCAGGGGAAACUCUGGUGGAGGCUCGAAGAGUUACUGACGUGCAAAUCGUUCUUCAAACUUGACUGUAGGGGCGAAAGACUAAUCGAACCAUCUAGUAGCUGGUUCCCUCUGAAAUUUCUCUCAGGAUAGCAGGAACAGAUUAUACAGUUUUAUCAGGUAAAGCUAAUGAUUAGUGGACUCGGGGGUCUGAGACUCUCGACCAAUUCUCAAACUUUAAAUUGGUAAGAACCUUUAGUUAUCUUAAUUGAACUGAAGGGAUGAAUGUAUUGUUCUUAGUGGCCAUUUUUGGUAAGCUAGAACUGGCGAUGAGGGAUGAACCUAACGUUGAGAUAAGGUGCCCAAAUUCACGCU
rnacentral:rRNA from 1 species